CGGAAGUGCAGUGCAGAAUAAACUAGUGGACUCUUGUCGACCAACUGUUAAAGAUUUCAGUUACUAGGGAAUCCUCAUUCUGUCAUGGGGUGUCAUAGUUAUAGGUGAUAACAGACAUCCACGGAGCUCCUUUGACUCCCGACUUCCCGACUGGCUGACCCCCCCCCUCGCCCGAGAGCGACCGACCGACCGACCGACGGCCUUACACAAAAGAUCCAGGCUUAAUUAGAAAUUCCAAGCUUAUGGAGAGGUUCUAAAGGGGACUCGAACCAAAAACGUGACAAUCAAGUCCAGAAGUAAAGCUACUAGGUGUUCUGAAGCCUCUAUCGGUGAUAUGCCCACAGUAGACAGACGUUUUUCAUCGCUGCUCUGAUGAGGCUUCCCGUUUUAACGCUCUAUAUAGCAGAAGACCGCAGCGGUACAAGAAUAAAUUGAUGUCAAGCGUGCAUGGCGGAUGCACAC